GAUCGGGUGGCCGAGUGGUUAAGGCGAUGGACUGCUAAUCCAUUGGGGUUUCCCCGCGUGAGUUC
rnacentral:tRNA from 1 species